CAGCGCUCUUCACAGCUGAGUCUGCUGAUGGACCUCACUGAAGAUCCAGUCCUGCUUCAGCUUCUGAUCAAACACCUCCAACUUCUGCUCCUCUCCCAGGCCCUGAGGCUUGAGGAAAGUGAAGUGUAUGGGCUCUGCAUUCCAAUAUAACAGGGCAUCAAUCCUGAUGCCACAACUUUUUCUCUCAGCCUCCCUGAACUUCUCUUUCUUUUACUGUGAAGUAUAUGUAACACAUUUUAAAGUUUUA
rnacentral:lncRNA from 1 species